UGUGAAAGCAAAUUGAAGCUUCAUAGACGAAGCUUAAGUUUGCUGUGAAAAUGUCGCCCUUCAGCUACAUAAAUUGACCAACGUGUUAUUUAGCACUGCUGCGUGGAUGAUAUCAAGUGGACAUCAAUUUUAUGGUUGGAGUCGAGAGAACAUAAUAGCCAACUGGAAGAUCAACCUCCUAGACUCGAUCCGUUCCAGGAACGAUGAUUCUUACUAACUAAACCAGCGUGUGCUAGAGCUCCAACUCCACACGACCAUCUCCUACAAGGAUGGAAAUGACCCGACACGCUCAACCUUCGGUCGGAUAUGCUGUCUGAUAUCCAAAGCUAUAAAUAGGGGACCUCAUUCUGUUGGGUUUAUAAAGAGUGGAAACAAAGUCUCACAUUGAUUAGGAAAAUGAGAGAUUUGUGGUAUAUAAAUGAGAACAAUUAUCUCUAUGGGUAUGAGACCUCUUGGGUGGAACAAAAUCAAAGCCGAUCUCCUAA